rnacentral:lncRNA from 1 species
CUAGUUUUGCUCACACUCAAUUCUAACAUCACACAUCAGCACCAAUAACAUCAUUAUAUUAGGCAUUGAUAACACUACCGACCAACUAUGAUGCAUUGGAUCGUCAACAAAAAAUACUUGUUUGACUUGAGAAGCCAUAACAAAUUAGUCAUUUCUUUGUUCAAUUUUACUCAGAUCUACAAGGGUAAAUCCAAGUUCGUUGACUACAA